rnacentral:rRNA from 1 species
GAUGAACGCUGGCGGCGUGCCUAAUACAUGCAAGUCGAGCGAACAGAUGAGGAGCUUGCUCCUCUGACGUUAGCGGCGGACGGGUGAGUAACACGUGGAUAACCUACCAAUAAGACUGGGAUAACUUCGGGAAACCGGAGCUAAUACCGGAUAAUAUAUUGAACCGCAUGGUUCAAUAGUGAAAGACGGUUUUGCUGUCACUUAUAGAUGGAUCCGCGCCGCAUUAGCUAGUUGGUAAGGUAACGGCUUACCAAGGCAACGAUGCGUAGCCGACCUGAGAGGGUGAUCGGCCACACUGGAACUGAGACACGGUCCAGACUCCUACGGGAGGCAGCAGUAGGGAAUCUUCCGCAAUGGGCGAAAGCCUGACGGAGCAACGCCGCGUGAGUGAUGAAGGUCUUCGGAUCGUAAAACUCUGUUAUUAGGGAAGAACAAAUGUGUAAGUAACUAUGCACGUCUUGACGGUACCUAAUCAGAAAGCCACGGCUAACUACGUG